AACGAACGCUGGCGGCGUGCCUAACACAUGCAAGUCGAACGGGAAAGCCCGCAAGGGUGAGUACAGUGGCGCACGGGUGCGUAACACGUGGGUAAUCUGCCCAGAAGCCCGGAAUAACUCCCCGAAAGGGGUGCUAAUGCCGGAUGAGACCACGGGGACUUCGGUUCCUGGGGGAAAAGGUGGCCUCUGUAUACAAGCUAUCACUUCUGGAUGAGCCCGCGGCCCAUCAGCUAGUUGGCGGGGUAAUGGCCCACCAAGGCUACGACGGGUAGCCGGUCUGAGAGGACACUCAGCCCAACUGGAACUGAGACACGGUCCAGACUCCUACGGGAGGCAGCAGUGGGGAAUCUUGCGCAAUGGGCGAAAGCCUGACGCAGCAACGCCGCGUGUGUGAUGAAGGUCUUCGGAUCGUAAAGCACUGUCGGGAGGGACGAAUAAGGGCCGGGUGAACAAUCCGGUUCGACGACGGUACCUCCAGAGGAAGCACCGGCUAACUCUGUGCCAGCAGCCGCCGUAACAC
rnacentral:rRNA from 1 species